rnacentral:rRNA from 1 species
GUGCCAGCAGCCGCGGUAAGACGAACCGUGCGAACGUUGUUCGGAAUCACUGGGCUUAAAGGGCGCGUAGGCGGUCUUGCGCGUCCGGGGUGAAAGCCUCCAGCUUAACUGGAGAAGUGCCCCGGAUACGGCGAGACUCGAGCGGGAUAGGGGCGUGCGGAACUUCCGGUGGAGCGGUGAAAUGCGUAGAUAUCGGAAGGAACGCCGGUGGCGAAAGCGGCACGCUGGAUCCCUCCUGACGCUGAGGCGCGAAAGCCAGGGGAGCAAACGGGAUUAGAUACCCGGGUAGUCC